rnacentral:rRNA from 1 species
UACAGAGGUCCCAAGCGUUGUUCGGAUUCACUGGGCGUAAAGGGUGCGUAGGCGGUUGGGUAAGUCUGAUGUGAAAUCUCACAGCUUAACUGUGAAACUGCAUUGGAUACUAUCCGGCUAGAGGAAUGGAGGGGAGACUGGAAUACUUGGUGUAGCAGUGAAAUGCGUAGAUAUCAAGUGGAACACCAGUGGCGAAGGCGGGUCUCUGGGCCGUAACUGACGCUGAGGAGCGAAAGCGUGGGGAGCGAACAGG